UUACGGCCAUAUCACUUUGAAACACCGGUUCCCGUACGAUAACCGAAGUUAAGCAAGGUUGAGGCUAGUCAUUACCUAGAUGGGUGACCGCUUGGGAAAUACCAGGUGUUGUAAG